rnacentral:rRNA from 1 species
UGGGGAAUAUUGCGCAAUGGGCGAAAGCCUGACGCAGCAACGCCGCGUGAGUGACGAAGGCCUUAGGGUUGUAAAGCUCUUUUGGCGGGGAAGAUAAUGACGGUACCCGCAGAAUAAGCUCCGGCUAACUUCGUGCCAGCAGCCGCGGUAAUACGAAGGGAGCUAGCGUUGUUCGGAAUCACUGGGCGUAAAGCGCACGUAGGCGGAUUGUUUAGUCAGGGGUGAAAUCCCGGAGCUCAACUUCGGAACUGCCUUUGAUACUGGCAAUCUCGAGUCCGAUAGAGGUGGGUGGAAUUCCUAGUGUAGAGGUGAAAUUCGUAGAUAUUAGGAAGAACACCGGUGGCGAAGGCGGCCCACUGGAUCGGUACUGACGCUGAGGUGCGAAAGCGUGGGGAGCAAACAGGAUUAGAUACCCCCGUAGUCCCUGAGCGGGCUGGCAAGGCGCAU